rnacentral:rRNA from 1 species
UGAACGCUAGCGGCAGGCUUAACACAUGCAAGUCGAGGGGCAGCAUGAGACGGAGAUUCGUCGAAGUCUUGAUGGCGACCGGCGCAAGGGUGACGUAACGCGUGAGCAACUUGCCCGUUUCUGGGGAAUAACCGGUGGAAACGCCGACUAAUACCCCAUAGUAUCAGAUUUAGGCAUCUUUAUCUGAUUAAAGAAUUUCGGAAACGGAUAGGCUCGCGUGACAUUAGCUAGAUGGCGGGGUAACGGCCCACCAUGGCAACGAUGUCUAGGGGUUCUGAGAGGAAGGUCCCCCACACUGGAACUGAGACACGGUCCAGACUCCUACGGGAGGCAGCAGUGAGGAAUAUUGGUCAAUGGUCUGACGACUGAACCAGCCAUGCCGCGUGAAGGUCACGGCCCUAUGGGUCUUAAACUUCUUUUGUAAGGGAGCAAUAAGCUUUACGUGUAGAGUGAUGAGAGUACCUUACGAAUAAGCAUCGGCUAACUCCGUG